rnacentral:rRNA from 1 species
AUUGAACGCUGGCGGCAGGCCUAACACAUGCAAGUCGAACGGUAGCACAGAGAGCUUGCUCUCGGGUGAUGAGUGGCGGACGGGUGAGUAAUGUCUGGGAAACUGCCCGAUGGAGGGGGAUAACUACUGGAAACGGUAGCUAAUACCGCAUAACGUCGCAAGACCAAAGUGGGGGACCUUCGGGCCUCACACCAUCGGAUGUGCCCAGAUGGGAUUAGCUAGUAGGUGGGGUAAUGGCUCACCUAGGCGACGAUCCCUAGCUGGUCUGAGAGGAGGACCAGCCACACUGGAACUGAGACACGGUCCAGACUCCUACGGGAGGCAGCAGUGGGGAAUAUUGCACAAUGGGCGCAAGCCUGAUGCAGCCAUGCCGCGUGUAUGAAGAAGGCCUUCGGGUUGUAAAGUACUUUCAGCGGGGAGGAAGGCGGUGAAGUUAAUAGCUUCACCGAUUGACGUUACCCGCAGAAGAAGCACCGGCUAACUCCGUGCCAGCAGCCGCCGCUG